GCCCAACUCAGUAGGUAGAGCAUGAGACUCUUAAUCUCAGGGUUGUGGGUUCGAGCCCCAUGUUGGGCA
rnacentral:tRNA from 1 species